rnacentral:lncRNA from 1 species
UCUUUAUAGGUGUGGGUCGCGGUCUCCAUCUAAACCUGAACGUAGAACGGUCUUAGGCAACCAAUACUUGAUACGGGGUUCGUUACAACGACACGGGGUUCGUAUCAUUUGGUAUCAGAGCUUAGGCUCUAACAUCAGGUUUAAUCUAUCUUGCUCUUCUUGAAUUUCGUUUGAUCANNNNNNNNNNNNNNNNNNNNNNNNNNNNNNNNNNNNNNNNNNNNNNNNNNNNNNNNNNNNNNNNNNNNNNNNNNNNNNNNNNNNNNNNNNNNNNNNNNNNUUGAUCAAUACUAAAUUCAGAAGACAAAGAUAAUUAACCUGAGUUUAGAAGCCUUAAGCUCUGAUACCAAAUGAUACGAAACGAACCAACCCCUGUCGUUGUAGCGAACCCCGUUCAAGUAUUGUUGCUAAGACCUUCUCUAGUUCAGGUUAGAUGGAAAACCGUGACCCAACCCUAUAAAGAGAUGGUGAACCUUGGUAAAAGGAGGACCGCCACAAUCAAGGGUGAAAUACUCGAUUGAUACUUCUCCUCAAUACAACUCUCCCCUCUCACGUGCAAGGAGCAACAAUUUAUCCUGACUAGGGCCACAAAAAUCGCCUUAGUAAAAUUCUUAACUAAGAAAACUUUGGCCUCAAUUUAAGGAAGCCAACCUAACUUUAAUCCUUAAAUUUCAGCCUAAAAAUUCUGUCAGAAGAAAACUCCAAUUUAAUACAAGACAAGCUGACAUUAACCUCCUAAUUUCAUCCCAAAGUUGUGGCAACAAGAAUCCUCAAAUUUAAUGAAGUCAGUCCCCAUUUGUCUAUUGACUUUCUUGACUUGCAUCAUGCUUAUUAUGGGGGAUUAUUUUGUUCAUCACCAUCAAUGGGCCUCCACUUGCUUGUUUGAGCCCAAUCCCUUGAAUCACACCCACUUAAUCAUUUUGAAUUUCUUGGCACGUGCUCUUGUAAUUGGGCCAAUGGGAACUUGAAUUGGAUUCGCAUUCCUGGAUCUUGUGUUAGCCAUGUCUUCAUCAAAUCUUAUCAGGUUCACUAUCACAAAUAGUCAGAUUCUUAAUUUUCUUGGAAAGAUAUUCAUUUUUUGUUGUGGGAUCUCAAAUCAAGUUUUUUAAGAUUCGCAUCAACAUGAGUGGUCUUUUGAAUGAAUUGAGAAGUAAUGCAUUCCAUGUAUGUAUUAUAAUAAGUGCUUAGGUCGAGUCGGGUAUAGUUUAACCUUAGUUUGGAGGACGGGGUGUUGUAAGUUUAACCCUAGUUGGGGGAAGGGGGUAUUGUCCCACCCUUUCGCCUUUCCCCCAUCUGUCCAUCAUCAUGUCGUUUUGGUUUCUCCGCAUUUCGACCAUCUCUAGUUAGGGGGUCCUUCGCAGUGUGUGAAUAUUUUUUUUAGGAUAGUUUAAUUUUUGGUCAUAUAGUUGUUUGUUUUAUAUUUUAUGUUCUUAGGAUAUAGUUGACAUAUUUUGGAUGUUGUUAACUUGUGGCUAUUGUUUGGAUGUAAACAUUGUUGUAAUCUUUUCAAUAUGUCUAAUGCAAAAUCGUUCUUCUAUGAUUAUGAAUUGCUAAAACAGGUUUAUUUUCUUUUCUAUUAUAUAUUGAAUGUUAUCCGAAAUAGGUCAGUUUUCUGGUUCCUUUUAAUUACAUUGUGACUCUUUGCACUCCAUGGUUAUAGUUGAUAUUUUAUAUGUCGUGGAUGUAUUGAGACUUCUUAGGAUUGGGACCAUAACUAAAUCAUUGAGUUUUAUUUUUAAAUACAUAAUUAUUUUUUUUGAUUUGUCUAAUGCAAAAUCGUUCUCCAAUAGUUACGGGUUAGUAAAAUAGGUUUAUUUUUCAAUCCAUUAUAUAUUGAAUGCUAUCCGAAACAGGUUAGUUUUCUGGUUCCUUUGAAUUACAUUGUGAACCUUCGCAUUCCAUGGUUAUAGUUGAUAUUUUAUAAUGUUGUGGAUAUAUUGAGACUUCUUAGGAUUGGGACCAUAACUAAAUCAUUGAGUUUUAUUUAAAUGCAUAAUUAUUUUUUUUGAUUUGUCUAAUGCAAAAUCGUUCUCCCAAUAAUUACGGGUAGUAAAAAUAGGUUUAUUUUUCAAUCCAUUAUAUAUUGAAUGCUAUCCGAAACAGGUUAGUUUUCUGGUUCCUUUGAAUUACAUUGUGAACCUUCGCAUUCCAUGGUUAUAGUUGAUAUUUUAUAUGUCGUGGAUGUAUUGAGACUUCUUAGGAUUGGGACCAUAACUAAAUCAUUGAGUUUUAUUUUAAAUACAUAAUUAUUUUUUUUGAUUUGUCUAAUGCAAAAUGUUCUCCAAUGAAUUACGGGUUAGUACAAUAGUUUAUUUUUCAAUCCAUUAUAUAUUGAAUGCUAUCCGAAACAGGUUAGUUUUCUGGUUCCUUUGAAUUACAUUGUGAACCUUCGCAUUCCAUGGUUAUAGUUGAUAUUUUAUAUGUUGUGGAUAUAUUGAGACUUCUUAAGAUUGAGACCAUAACCAAAUCAUUAUAUUUUGUUUUUCAAAGACGGUUGAAGCAA